rnacentral:rRNA from 1 species
CAGCAGCCGCGGGAAUACAGAGGGUGCGAGCGUUAAUCGGAUUUACUGGGCGUAAAGCGUGCGUAGGCGGCUUCUUAAGUCGGAUGUGAAAUCCCUGAGCUUAACUUAGGAAUUGCAUUCGAUACUGGGAAGCUAGAGUAUGGGAGAGGAUGGUAGAAUUCCAGGUGUAGCGGUGAAAUGCGUAGAGAUCUGGAGGAAUACCGAUGGCGAAGGCAGCCAUCUGGCCUAAUACUGACGCUGAGGUACGAAAGCAUGGGGAGCAAACAGGAUUAGAUCCCCGUAGUCCCUGUCUCUUAUACAC